UUGUAAACCGAAUUCUGCAGUGAAUUUGUUAAAUAUGGUAAGUGCACUUUUAGAAGCGAUAGCUGUGUUAGGUGAUAGUGCUUGGUGAGUGAGAGUCCUAGCUUGAUGCAUCAGUAUGCUCAGUCCAGGAUUAGUUCGUGAAACUGUGGUGUCCUGGAUGGCUGGUGGUGAGCCGUAGGGAGUGCCUGAGAGAAUACCUGGAAUUGAGAGCUUGAAAGAGCGUCAGCUGCAGUGUUGUGGAUACCCGGAAUGUGAAAACAAACUAAGUGAAACUGACCGGUUGCUGCUAGCCAGGUCAGCUUGCGAAUCAGCCGCAUGAUGGUCAGGGAUGAUGAACGCCCCUUGUUAAUGAUUUCGCAAGCUGCCGAGUUGUCAGAGUAGCAUUUUACUGCCUUGCCAGACCACCACAAUGGGAUAGAUUUCAAAUAGGGCUGAGG